UUCAUCAAGUCCUUAGAAAUAUUGUAAACCCUCCCUCUACCCAAACCCUCUAUCGGCGAAAAACCUCCAUUAGCAAAGAACCUCCACCCACAAAAAUCAAAACCACCAUCAAAAGUCCCGAAAUUGAAACCCUCCUUCAACAAUUUGACAAUCGCGAAAUUGAAACACUCCAUCAAAAAAUUAAGAAUCGCAAAAUUGCUGCGAAAGAUUCAGAGACAAUCACUAAGGCACCGCACCGCACCGCACAAAGACGCAGGCGAACCCUUCCAAAACCGUCUUCGGUUUCAGCCUUUCCAGACUCGCUCUCAAUUCCAUCUGGUUUGGCAGUCAGGCACAAGGCUCAAAGGGAUAAUUGUUUCUGACGCUUCCAGAUUUGGCACUCAAACAUAUACAGGGGUAGACACUUGAGAGUUGAGAAUCUAUGAGAAUCUUGUGACUAGCAAAUGCCAACUAGCUCGGUGAAGUUGUUAAAGGUAGUAUCCGCAGUUCUUGGCACAUAUACAAAACUUCACAUGAAAAAACUUAGCUGAUAAGUUAACGCGAAUCAUAUAAGCCUGAUAUCACUUACUGAGCAAGCUAUUUUUUUAUUUAGCAUCUAAUUUCGUGAUUUUACCAACUAUUGUUAUUGUAGACAAGAGAUAAGUAAAACCAAGUUAAACGCCAUGAUUGGUCUCAUUGAUUGGGAAUGAGUUUUCAUGAGUUAUAUAAUGAUUUUGUGACAGUUAGCAAAGGAAGCCCUUGAAUAGGAAAUCCACGCAAAAAAUGCAGCUUCGGGGAAGAAAGUUAAAAGAUACUGCUACAAAGGCUGGCAAAGGCCGUGAGAAAGCCUCAUUUUUCAGAGAGAUUUGUAAGGACAAUGGAAAAGGAAUGCCACAUGAUGACAUACCUAAUAUGUUUGGGAGAUGUGUAAUAUGCUUAAAUUUGAAAGGAGUUCACUUUAUUGUCCUGCUUUUACUUUAUUCUUAAUUUUUUUUAAUGCAGUUCUAUCCGGAACAAAAUACGGACUGAAACAAACACAUGGAAAAUUCGGUUUGAGGGCUAAGAUGGUGAGUGCACUCUUCGGCUGUUGGCCUGUUGCAAAAACUUAGAAACUCUUUUGUUGUAUAUAAACUUUUUUUGCACUGGAUAGCAGUAUAAGUGCUAGGUCUCCACUUUUAAGCUACAUAAUUUUUCAUGCUAGAGACUAAGUGGUAUUAUGCUUAUAUGAUUCCCUUUUUUUUUUCCUAUGAAACUAAUGUUUUCCUUGUGAAUGAAGUAUAAUUCAUUGGAUGUUGGUCGUGAUUUGCCUUGAAAGAGGUUUUCUUCGAUUCAUGGCUGAUGGAUCGUUAGACAAUUUGCAUACAAAAAGGCUUCUUGUUUGUGUAAGUACUCUAUUUAACAGUUAUGGCAAUCUGUUUUACAGUCUCGUUUCCAUGAUUUUCCUCCUCUUGUGUUAUGUGCAUGUAUACUUGGUAUGAAUGAAAUACUCGUAGUUGGUUCCUUUGUACCUUAGAAAUAUGUAGUAGAUAUGAUUGUGAGAUAGACAACAAGAAAACAGGAGAAAGACCAGCAGCUACCUAAAAUUUUAGAAGAACAUCAAAAUAUUUGGUUGGAAAUGACAAGAAACAAAAAAUUAUCAGUGUGUCACCUAAGAAUUUGAAUUGGCAGACAUACACAGACAUGCACAUCAAAAGAAAUAGAAAGAUUCAAGUACUCAUCCUUUCUCAAUUGAUGUCCCAUAUUUCACCCACCUUUAAAUCCAAGAAACUUAGAUGCUACUAAUCUACUUAUUCAUAUUUUCAGAUCCUAGUGCCUGAUUAAUGUAAGGGAAAGUCGGCACUACUAGUUUGCUUAUAGACUUUUAUGAUUUUAUCGUAUUAUUAGUUAUCUCUUGUAAAUUAUAAUUACUGUCAUUAAUUUUUGCAUUAUCUACUAUUGGAGAGGUAUAUCAUGAAGAACAUGGAGUUGGAUAAUACAUUUUUCAGCCGAGUAUUUCAAG